UGUAAGCAUGAUAAUUUCUUUAAAGAAAUAUUUUUCUUUAGCAUAAAUGAAAAUAGCAGUUGACACAAUGUCAAAAUGCCCAGCCCUUCAAUUUCAGAAGCACUAAGAGAAGCCAGCAAUUAAUUCUGAAUUUGACCCAGUGGUGGAAAUUACAGAUGGAGAAGACACCAUUCAGAAAAAUUGGGCUCAUUUGACUCUUCCUUUUUUAAGAAUAAAGAUGUGAACCUAGGUCUAUCUGCCUUCAAAAAUGAGCUCUAACUAUACACUUGUAUAGGAAGAAAGGAAGAUCCCCACUUGUGUAUAGAAUGUGAAAAUUACACGAGAUGAUGCAUCAGAAGGAUUUAGGUUUGAGUCCUGCCUGUGUGGCUAACAGACCUGUGACCUUGCCUACUUUGCUUCUCACUAAAUUGGGAACAACAACAAUGACCUUCUAAGGUUGUUGGGAAAAUUAAGAUAAUAGUUGUGAUGCUCUUGACAUGUCCAGUGCCUAUCAAUGUUAGUUUUUAUCUUCUUUCCUGAGAAAUCAUGUAGCCUGUAUGAUUAGCAAUUAGAUUAAACUAUCUCCAGCUUCUUUGUGCAAAUCAUUUCUACAGGAAAAUUGGGCUUAUUUGAUUCUACCAUUUUUAAGAAUAAAAAAUUGCAGCAAAAUAAAGGAUGACUGAGACUUGGAGACAGAAAUAGCAGCCUAAUUCUGAGCACAUAUAAACACACAUGUGCAUGUGCGCACACACAUCUGCUGUCCUAGAUAUUGUCCCUCGACUCAGUCCUAGGUUCUGUUUCUUUAUUAGAUCUCAUUCCCAGAUUACUGAAAUGUCAGGCCUGGAAUGAUUCAAACUUUAGCCAGUAUCAAAAAUUCUAGAAUGACAAGACAAUGUCAUGGUAUUAUGUUAUGAUGUUAUAUUUAUGGCAUAACUUAAUUAUAGGUACUAGCAAACAGGUGUGGAAAGUAUUUGAAGAGAAGUUUCCCUGUCAUACAUAUGAAAAUACAAUUUUAAAACUCCUCUUUAGUCAAGAAUAAACUUGGGAUGGUUGCCCUGACUCAGGUCACAGGGAGCCUCAGUUAUACCUCAAGAUCCAGUGUGAUCCAAGAGACAGUAUUUAGAGUAUAAAGCCAGCAGGAUAGUCUAAAUAUGGGAUGAUGACUGUCAGCCCGAUUUGUAUUCUCGGAGAACACAGUGCACAUCAUUUCAGAAUUACAAACUUGUGAAAUGGAACAAUACCUGCUAACUGCUUCAGGAAUCGUAAACCACAAUCUGAGGUAAAUUGCCCAAGCAGCAAUAAUGAGAUUUUUUAUGGAUGCUGAAGCAAAAAAACUUCUGAGCCUGUGUUUGCACUCAGUGAUAUGUAUAUUUUUGGGGACAUUUCUGAUGAGUUAGAUCACAUUUGCAUGUCAGAGUUGCAGUUUUUGCAUACAGCACAGGUGAGUUCACAGCUGAUUUUUUAGACAUUUAUUGCAAGUAUUAUGUCACUUUAUAACCACAGCUCUUUCAGCUGAAAUCCAGUUUAUACAUAUUCAGUGUACAUUUCUCUUUUUCAUUUAGGAGUCCCCCGAAUUGGAAUUGGAACUCUGUGUGUGUAUGUGUGUGAGUAAUUUUUAGCUAAAUACAAAGAGAAUGUCUUUCAAUAUAUUUCAUGUGACUAGGUACACUAAAGGCGCAGGAAAGGGUUACCUAGUGGAGGCUUGAGGCCAGGUAAUGAUGUGCUGCCAGGAAGCGUCAGUGUUUCAGUUUACGUGGUAAUUCCAUUUUCAGGUGGGGCACCAAAAUGGGGAUUGCUUUCCUAGUAAAAGGCUUGGAUUAUAGUUUCACUCAUCAAUAAUGUGAGUACUGAAUAAUAAGAAAUUGGUGAUUUUGCCAGGAGUUGGGAGAAAAUAAGCACCAUUAGAAAUGCAAUGGACUGUUUUUAAUGAGCAAGUUGAGCAAGUACAUCAUUACAGGUGGAAAACAAGGACCCUGAUCUUCAUAAGGUGGAAACAUCAUGAAACACAAGAGGAAUCAGAAGGAUGGGGAUGAUGCACAAAGAGAGAGGAUACAGGCAGCAUCUGCGUCCCAACAGAGACUGAGCUUUCCUCUGUGACACGCGCUCCACUGUGUACCAUUCAGGGUAGUCUGUGUAUUAAGUAGCCAUUUAGUAAAUAUAUAUAUUUAGUUAAGUAUA